AGAGAAGAGUGUCCAGCUCCUCCAGAGGCUGCCCGCCCGCCGCUCCUUCCCUGCCCACCUACUAUGAGGAGCAGCUCCUCCCACCUGCCCAUAAAAGCCAAGUGCAUGUUACCAGCAGCGGAUCACAGCCCUUCCCCGAUCCUCUCCGUGGGAGCCAGCGAGCCUCUCUCCCUGAUCUUACGUGCUCAAGGGAGCUCACACGUUCACCAACUCACCCUUGAAGUCAUCUCAAGAACAAAAGACAACUGAAAGUUUCUGCAUGAUCUUAGAAAUUUGCCAAACAUAAACGUGUCAACGUGAAGUUAAGAAGUGAGACUCACCCGUCCCUGCACAGUCUAUACUAUGCCCUUUCGCAAUAGGAUCCAGUUUCACCUAUGGAAUGAGAAAGUUGGGGAAGAAGUCAUCUAGCGUCUUGCUACUCAAAGUGUGGUCCAUGGACCAGCAGCAUCAGCAUCACCUGGGAUCUUCUUGGAAGAAAUGUAGAAACUCAGGCCUCACCCCAGAAUCUGCCUUUUUAUAAGACCCCCAGAUGACAAAACUGAAACGGAGAAGUCACACAGACGGUGAAUUGCAGAGCCAGGAGAACAGCCCUGGCAGCCGGCUCUGGAGGUCAUGCUAUUAACCUUUACACUCUACCCCUCCUGAAGAAAGAUGUUAAAUGCAGAGGCAAGGAAAAUUGGUGCAAAUAUCAUUGGAAUGAGAUCACUAGGGGUUGUCCUAAUAGGGAGAAGAAACAUCAUUUUUCCUCAUUCUAUUGUCAUUAUUUCACAGACCAUGUUGCACUUUGUAGAAAAUAAGUCAGAAAUACUUGACUGUGUCACAUUGUUCAAAAGGAGAAAGU
rnacentral:lncRNA from 1 species